rnacentral:rRNA from 1 species
AGAAUCAACGCUGGCGGCGUGCCUCAGACAUGCAAGUCGAACGAUUAAACUUUCCUUCGGGAAAGAUAUAAAGUGGCGCACGGGUGAGUAACACGUAAGUAAUCUGCCUUUGAGUGGGGAAUACCAUCGGGAAACCGAUGCUAAUACCGCAUAAUGCAGCGGCACCGCAAGGUGACAGUUGUUAAAGGAGCAAUCCGCUUAAAGAGGAGCUUGCGGCAGAUUAGCUAGUUGGUAAGGUAACGGCUUACCAAGGCUACGAUCUGUAUCCGGUCUUAGAGGACGGUCGACACACUGACACUGAAUAACGGUCAGACUCUACGGGAGCAGCAGGUCGGAAGUUUUGGCAAUGGGCGAAAGCCUAGACCCAGCAACGCCGACGUGAAGAUGAAGU